AUUAACGCUAGCGGCAGGCAUAAUACAUGCAAGUCGAACGGUAGAGGGGCAACCCUUGAGAGUGGCGAACGGGUGAGUAAUGCAUCGGAACGUGCCCAGUCGUGGGGGAUAACGCAGCGAAAGCUGUGCUAAUACCGCAUGUGAUCUGUGGAUGAAAGCAGGGGACCGCAAGGCCUUGUGCGAUUGGAGCGGCCGAUGUCAGAUUAGCUAGUUGGUAGGGUAAAAGCCUACCAAGGCGACGAUCUGUAGCUG
rnacentral:rRNA from 1 species